rnacentral:lncRNA from 1 species
AGGAGGCCCUGCAGACGAUUUUCAAUAGGUAAGAACGUGCUGCUGUGUGCUGCAUCCAUUUAUGGUGGCACAGUUAAUACUAUGCAAAGUCACAAGUCUGAGACCGUGAUAUUGACUCAGCUAUUUGCUGUUAUGACAUUUACCUUUACCUUAUGUUUUCAGUUUUGUAGAUUUGGCUUUCAAAGAGCAUCUGCUUACCCCUCAAAAUAAAGGAACUGCCAAUUUGUUUUUCCUGUAGCAGCUGACAGCAAUGUGCCACAACCCCUGGACACAAGCCAUAGUUAAGAUAAGCUACUAGCAUGCUGUUUCUACUUACUUUUAUUAGCUAAAAAUAAAACCACCACGCAUAACUCAAACUAGAAAAUCCAUUAAUCCUUUCAAAGCAGUGGUUCUCAAUUCUGCUGCACCUUAGAAUAACAAGGAGUUUAGGAAAUAUGCCAGCACCCAGGUCCUACCACCAGAGAGUCCUGUUUAAUGGCGCUGGAGGGGUGGGGCCCAGGCAGAGGUCCUUUUUUAAAGUUUCCCACGUGAUUUUAAAGUGCAGCCAAAGGGGAAAAUAACUGUUUUUAGAGCGAGCUGUCUUUUAAAUAAAUAAAAACCCAAGUAAAAUUUGGUACCUUU